rnacentral:rRNA from 1 species
AAUAUUGCGCAAUGGGCGACAGCCUGACGCAGCGACGCCGCGUGGGGGAUGAAGGUCUUCGGAUUGUAAACCCCUUUCGGCAGGGAAGAUGGAACGGGUAACCGUUCGGACGGUACCUGCAGAAGCAGCCACGGCUAACUUCGUGCCAGCAGCCGCGGUAAUACGAAGGUGGCAAGCGUUGUUCGGAUUUACUGGGCGUACAGGGAGCGUAGGCGGUUGGGUAAGCCCUCCGUGAAAUCUCCGGGCCUAACCCGGAAAGGGCGGAGGGGACUGCUCGGCUAGAGGAUGGGAGAGGAGCGCGGAAUUCCCGGUGUAGCGGUGAAAUGCGUAGAGAUCGGGAGGAAGGCCGGUGGCGAAGGCGGCGCUCUGGAACAUUUCUGACGCUGAGGCUCGAAAGCGUGGGGAGCAAACAGGAUUAGAUACCCUGGUAGUCCACGCCUUAAACGAUGGAUACUAAGUGUCGGCGGGUUACCGCCGGUGCCGCAGCUAACGCAGUAAGUAUCCCGCCUGGGAAGUACGGCCACAAGGUUG